rnacentral:tRNA from 1 species
GGCAGGUUGCCCGAGUGGCCAAAGGGAGCGGACUGUAAAUCCGUCGCGAAAGCUCCGAAGGUUCGAAUCCUUCACCUGCCA